rnacentral:ncRNA from 1 species
AUACAGACGUUGAAGAAGAGGAGUAUUCAGUGACUUCCAUCAGAGAGAGAAAUCCAUUGGCUGAGAGGUUUUUUAGGAGUAAGAGCUGGAGAAGGUAGCUUCGGAGUUUCCAAGCUGAGUUUAGUAGGUUUGGACGGGUGGAACCGUUAUAUUCUGUAGAGAGUCGAGGAAUUUUUCCUCGGAAUUAAGGUGGUAACGCGAGCUUUUCGUCCUUAUG